GUUCGAUUCUGGCUCAGAUUGAACGCUGGCGGGAUGCUUUUACAUGCAAGUCGAACAGCAGCGCAGACUUCGGUCUGGUGGCGAGUGGCGAACGGGUGAGUAAUGUAUCGGAACGUGCCUAGUAGCGGGGGAUAACUACGCGAAAGCGUAGCUAAUACCGCAUACGCCCUUCGAGAAGCAGAGGACCUUUCGGGCCUCGCACUGUGCAGAACCGGCCGAUAUCGGAUUAGCUAGUUGGUGGAGUAGCAGCUCGCAGGCGACGAUCCGUAGCUGGUUUGAGAGGACGACCAGCCACACUGGGACUGAGACACGGCCCAGACUCCUACCUGGGAGGCAGCAGUGGGGAAUUUUGGACAAUGGGGAAACCUGAUCCAGCCAUCCCGCGUGUGCGAUGAAGGCCUUCGGGUUGUAAAGCACUUUUGGCAGGAAAGAAACGGCACGGGAUAAUACCCCGUGCAACUGACGGCUACCUGCAGAAUAAACUUAAACUAACUACGUGCCAGCAGCCGCGGUAAUACGGUGCAAGCGUUAAUCAGAUUACUGGAGGCGUAAAGCGUGCGCGAGCGUUUCGGAAGAAAGAUGUGAAAUCCCAGAGCUUAACUGGAACGCAUUUUUAACUACCGAGCUAGAGUGUCAGAGUGUGAGUCCAUGAUGUGUUCAGUGAAAUGCGUAGAUAUGCGGAGGAACACCGAUGGCGAGGGCAGCCUCCUGGGAUAACACUGACGCUCAUGCACGGCGAUGAGGCAAGCAAGUUGAUCACCUGGUAGUCCACGCCCUAAACGAUGUCGAAAAACUGUGUUGUUGGGGCCUUUACCGGGCCUUGGUAGCGCAGCUAACGCGUGAAGUUGACCGCCUGGGGAGGUACGGUCGCAAAGAUUAAAACUCCGGGAAUUGACGGGGACCCGCACAAGCGGUGGAUGAUGUGGAUUAAUUCGAUGCAACUGCAAAAAAAACAACCUUACCUACCCUUGACAUGUCUGGAAUCCCGAAGAGAUUUGGGAGUGCUCGCAAGAGAACCGGAACACAGGUGCUGCAUGGCUGUCGUCGGCUCGUGUCGUGAGAUGUUGCGGGUUAAGUCCCGCAACGAGCGCAACCCUUGUCAUUAGUUGCUACGAAAGGGCACUCUAAUGAGACUGCCGGUGACAAACCGGAGGAAGGUGAGGAUGACGUCAAAGUCCUCAUGGCCCUUAUAGGUAGGGCUUCACACGUCACAAUGGUCGGGACAGAGGGUCGCCAACCCGCGAGGAGCCAAUCCCAGAAACCCGAUCGUAGUCCGGAUCACCAGUCUGCAACUCGACUGCGUGAAGUCGGAAUCGCUGGUAAUCGCCGGAUCAGCAUGUCGCGGUGAAUACGUUCCCGGGUCUUGUACACACCGCCCGUCACGCCAUAGGUGGGUUUUGCAGAAGUAGUUAGCCCUAGCCGUAAGGAGGGCGAUUACCACGGUAGGAUUCAUGACUGGGGUGAAGUCGUAACAAAGGUAG
rnacentral:rRNA from 1 species